GACGUAGGGCGCGAGCGUUGUCCGGAUUUAUUGGGCGUAAAGAGCUCGUAGGCGGCUUGUCGCGUCGUCUGUGAAAUCCCGCGGCUCAACUGCGGGUCUGCAGUCGAUACGGGCAGGCUAGAGUUCGGUAGGGGAGACUGGAAUUCCUGGUGUAGCGGUGAAAUGCGCAGAUAUCAGGAGGAACACCGGUGGCGAAGGCGGGUCUCUGGGCAGUUCCUGACGCUGAGGCACGAAGGUCAGGGGAGCAAACGGG
rnacentral:rRNA from 1 species